rnacentral:rRNA from 1 species
AGCGAACGCUGGCGGCAGGCUUAACACAUGCAAGUCGAGCGGGCCCUUCGGGGUCAGCGGCAGACGGGUGAGUAACACGUGGGAACGGACCCUUUGGUUCGGAAUAACGCUGGGAAACUAGCGCUAAUACCGGAUACGCCCUUUUGGGGAAAGGCUUGCUGCCGAAGGAUCGGCCCGCGUCUGAUUAGCUAGUUGGUGGGGUAAUGGCCUACCAAGGCGACGAUCAGUAGCUGGUCUGAGAGGAUGAUCAGCCACACUGGGACUGAGACACGGCCCAGACUCCUACGGGAGGCAGCAGUGGGGAAUAUUGGACAAUGGGCGCAAGCCUGAUCCAGCCAUGCCGCGUGAGUGAUGAAGGCCUUAGGGUUGUAAAGCUCUUUUGUCCGGGACGAUAAUGACGGUACCGGAAGAAUAAGCCCCGGCUAACUUCGUG